GAGGAACGAUGGAGGCGUGCCUAAUACAUGCAAGUCGAGCGAACGGACGAGAAGCUUGCUUCUCUGAUGUUAGCGGCGGACGGGUGAGUAACACGUGGAUAACCUACCUAUGAGACUGGGAUAACUUCGGGAAACCGGAGCUAAUACCGGAUAAUAUUUUGAACCGCAUGGUUCAAAAGUGAAAGACGGUCUUGCUGUCACUUAUAGAUGGAUCCGCGCUGCAUUAGCUAGUUGGUAAGGUAACGGCUUACCAAGGCAACGAUGCAUAGCCGACCUGAGAGGGUGAUCGGCCACACUGGAACUGAGACACGGUCCAGACUCCUACGGGAGGCAGCAGUAGGGAAUCUUCCGCAAUGGGCGAAAGCCUGACGGAGCAACGCCGCGUGAGUGAUGAAGGUCUUCGGAUCGUAAAACUCUGUUAUUAGGGAAGAACAUAUGUGUAAGUAACUGUGCACAUCUUGACGGUACCUAAUCAGAAAGCCACGGCUAACUACGU
rnacentral:rRNA from 1 species